rnacentral:sRNA from 1 species
AACUAAACCUGAUGGAAGCGGCAGCCCCGAAGCAUGAGGGCUAAAGCAUACAACAGGGCCCGAC